CCCCGGCUGCCGCCGACCCCCGCGGGCCCCCGGAAUCUGAGUUUGAAACUGAAGGUGGCUCUUGCUACCUCCCUUUGAGGGCACGUCCCUUGGUCUUUCUAAGCCUCAGUUUCUCCACCUGUGAAAUGGUCACCCUAACAACAGCGCUACCACGUUUGUGCCGCCCCGAGGUUGAGUGAGAAAAGGAACGUGCUGGAUCAACAUCGACGAUGUUCUCGUUUCUCUAGGUACCGCUGCGGUCCUUAACCUCCCUGGAUCUCCCGCCCACCCUGCCCAGGGCCUCUUCUGGUGGAGCAGACAGGGCGGCUUUAAAACAGAUGAGAAAACUGAGGUCAGAGAGACUGAUUAGCAGAGGAGAGGUUCAAGCCCAGGGAUCUGACUGCGAUGGCUACCUGUGGAACCUCUGCUGUUAGGGUAAUCCACUCUGAUGCUCUUUCUGACCAGAGAUUGAAAUGACUCCACUUCAGCCUUCAGCUGCCUUUCACAGUGAGGAAGACAUUGCUGUCACACCCACCAGCCUCCAGCAGGCUGCAGUGAUUGCAGCUUCAUUGAAAUCGAUGGUUUUCCUGAGGGGGCCAGGCAGCCUAUUCCAAGACUCCAGAGUACAGAGGAACACACUGCCCAUAGGAGGAGGACUCUGAGUGGCCUGGAUACAGUCAUCAAGGGGCCUGUUCAGCAGCACCUUCAUCUUAAGCAACGUAUGUGCAUUGAUGGAGCUUACCUGGUGCCAAGAGAGUGGUGAGAGGCAUGGAAAUAAGUGAUCUGAUUAAUCAGGGGGAUCUCAGAAGUUUUCACCGCCCGGAGCUUUCCAAUGGACAGAGGAGCCUAGUGAGUUACAGCCCAUGGGGUUGAAGAGUCAGACACACCUGAGUGACUAAACAACAGCUUUCAUGAAGGCUUCAUGUGUGGCUCUCCCAGGAGCUCUGACAGCCUUCAGGAAAAGGUUGUUUCUGAUUUUGCACCAUCAAAAGUAAUACCAUGAGGGCAUUUCUUGAAUUAUCGAUGCUCUGUACUUCUUCCUUGAUGAAUGCCAGCUUGUGUCCUUCGCCGUGGUAAUACUUCCUCACCUGCCUCGUGGCCAGCUUGGUGAGCCUCGUUUUGUGCAGAAUCCUGGAUGACUAAGAGUGACACCAGUGAGAAGAUGCCUCUCUCAUACCGUGUCCCUGGGAGGCCCCUAAGGCUCUUCCACAGGAAUGGCUUCUCACUCCUGGGCAAAAAUGGUCCAUUUUACACCAUGGACUGUCUGUACCUGGGUCAUGUCUCACUGCACAGGCUGGUGCCAAAAUGCCGCCGUUUGGGAAAGAAGGUUGCAGGUCUGAGGGUAAUCACAUGAAAAGGGAUCAAUCAGAAUUCCUGCAGCAGUAUUACAGCCUGUUCCAUAUGUGUGAGAUGGUUUUUUAUGCAUCCCAGCUGUCCAUAAUAAAGACUGAUUGAUGAACAAUGAUGCCAGAGGAAAAACUACAUUUCUUUUGUCCUCUCUAUUAAAAAGUUAUUUAAAAAUCACAAUCAUAUUCAUAACACUGAUCUUACAGGCUUACCGUGACAAUGAAAUGAGGUCAGGCAUACAAAUACAAAGUACUUGGGUACAAAACCUAUAUAGCAGGUUCCCAUAUAGCAGGAUCAUGUAACAGGCUCAUAUGAUCCCAGUAAAUAACACCCAUUAAGAAAAAAAAAUCACUGUCAUAUGAAGAGGUAAUCAAAGAAUAUACAACCAAGAAAUUUAGUAAACAUGUAUUGGAGGUAUGCUGGAUAUUUAAUUAGAUGUCAUAUUUCUCAAUUUUAUAAUGUUUAUGGUAUUUGCAGUCUUCUUAAAAGUGUAUAAUCUAUUGUGAUUACUUUUCUUAGUCUAA